rnacentral:lncRNA from 1 species
CUGUAGGCUGCUGCUGGAGCUGUGCGGCUUUGGGUAGGUGGCCUGGGCACUAUGUGUUCACCAAACGCACUUCCCUUCCAUCCUGGGUGCAAGGCGACCUCCGAUCCCAGCCUUUCCUGUUGGGCUCAGCAAUGGAAACAAGCAGUGGGGCCCUGCGCUCCAUGCAGGGUGGAUCUAGAACCUUCCGAGGACUUGAAACCCUCAGAGGGGGACAGGGUGGGGAGACACAGAGAAGGCCCAGGAAUGACCUUGUGGGAAGUCGCUUAUCCACCAGGAACUCUGGUGCUGAACUUUUUCUAAGCGAAAGUUAACUUCUGUUGGAUUAAGACCCUGAAGAUUGGGCUUUAACACCUGUUGUGUUACCUGCACUCAAACAAACCAGGGCUCCUUACUCAGCCCUCGGGAGCCUUGGCAUUCUCACCUCUAAAGCAGGAGGAGUCGUGAUACCUGCCUUGAGGAAUUUGAGCAAAGUUAAACGACCUGAACUAUUUGGGCGUUUCUUGACCAAUGUCCGACCUUGGGAGGUGCUGGAUGAAUUUUUAUUUCUCUACUUUAAGUCAGCCUUUCUACCUUGUUGCUCUUCUCAGCUGCCUUUCUCUGAGCCUCCUUCAUCACUCUGUUCAUUUCUGUGAGACAAAGAUCAUUACAACUGCCUUAAUAUUUCGGUGCAAGACGCACCGUGACCUGACAUUGCUCUACCCCGCCUCCUGCCACGAUCAUUCUUUUGUAGCAAUAUUCCGCCAGCUUCAUUUCAUGCAGUGAGUGGAACAAGAGUCAGAACACCAGGGCGGCUGAGCCUAUCGAUCAAGCCUCCACCUAAUGACAGACAUACUUGAGUCCCACAGUCAUAAGGAGGAUGAAGUCUCUCUCUGGCUGGACCUGGACUGCAGUCACACUCUAAGAGCUCCUCUUUCUACACCUCUGCCAGUGGGCGUUCGGUCAGAGACAAGCUAUGGCACCGGCUCCCGGACGCACGGGAGGACUCCUACCAGGGACAGAGUCCGCACAGGUACCAGAGCAAUGAGGAAGCAGGACCCAGACCCCUGACUCCUAACUCCAGGUGAAGUCCACCCUGAGCUCAGGAGCAGAGCUGCCUCCAUCGGGUGUGGAGAGACAGAGCCUCCUCCCCAGCCAUGCCUCCUCAUCGGCCCACGGGAGCUGCUGUGACUCUGACCCCUGUACCUGGCUCUGUCGACCGGAAUAGUCAGUGGGCAGCCAGCACACCUUUGGGUGCUCUGUAUGAGUGGGAUUUUCUCCUGAUUAGACAUUUUAAAAGAUUGUCAACAAAAAGAACAAACUCUGUAAAA